rnacentral:misc_RNA from 1 species
ACAUGCACUGCUAACUGCUCAGUU